rnacentral:rRNA from 1 species
UACCACCUACGUUGCAACACACCUCAUCUUACGGGGGUGGAGAGCGACGAUCCUAGAAGUGUGGCUACAAACGCGCGCUCCCCCUCCCCCCGUGACGGCAAAACAAAAGAGUACGAAGAAGAGAACUGGUACUAUAACAGAAUGCUACUCGUGCAGGUCCCAGUCUAAGGGCCGCUUAAUCGCCAAUUAAACAACAUAGGGUCACGAUACAAUCCGUAGUUGCGUUCUCGUACGUAGUCCGAGAACGCACAAAAGGAUGGACAAGCUUCGCGGGACCAAUAGAGGUCGCUAUUUUCUAGAGCGACGGUGGCAGUUUUAAAAGCUGGGGGUGGCUCCCGCAAAAGUAGAAAAGUGGGAAAACGGGUACACACACCAACCGGGACCAACCUGCUCCCGCGGACGAAGAGAAGUGAGGGGGCUAACCCACUUUGGGAUCGGUUGCGAGGGGUUAGGGGUAGUGUAGGGAGAGGAAGCGAGGGCGGCGGCGCGAGGGCAGGAGGGAAGGGGGGGAAGGGUCAGCGGCGUGCUCCACCUGACGCUGGGUGCGGGGACAGCAGAGGAGACGGGUCGGUUAGUGGGGAGGAGACACACGGAGGGAGGAGGAGGAGGAGGAGUAACCCUGGCCCGUUCCCCUACUCACGCCCGGCGUCUCUGCUGUUCCACCGACUCGAUAGGUGCCGCGGCAGUAGCUACUCUGCGAGUAGGUGUGCGCCGUUCGGAACCUGAUCCUGCGCGGUGCUCUUCGUCUGCCCCUCCGGUAACGGUCCACGCGGGGAGAGGGAGGGAGAGGAGAGAGGGAGAGAGUCUACGUUAGGUUGCUGGAGACGUAAAGGAAAGCGUGAUGUCGACCAGGCUCUAGACUCGCGUGGGCAGCGGCGGCGGCAAGCAACAGGUGAACCGACGUCGGUAGGGGUUCUUCUCCCCUACAGUGCCGUCGCCCUAGGAGCGGACAGAGGUGAGGGAGUGGAGGGGCAAGACGACCGUUCCCACACCAUAGGGUACCCCCCACGAAGAGCGAGCUCCUCAUUGGUGAGGUCUCGUCCUCGUCCUGUCCAUAUACCAAGGACGCACACACCAAACCACAGACCCAAAAAGGGUUAAGGUCAGGUCUUCGUACCUAAAUCCCUAAUAGAAUGAACCAAAACCCACGCCGACGACCAUCCGUUUGGUAAAACAUUCCCGGAGAUAGACACGUGGUACUAAAAUCAGAAGUCCUUGGUAUUCUUACCUCUUCAAGGUCUUUUCAAACAGCUAGUCGAGUACUAAUAUGAACUCCCUUCCUAGAUACUUUAAGCUUCUCAACAUGGUUCCGGAUGGUGAAGAAACCGGCGGUUACAUUAAAGAUAGGUCGCGGAUAGAGAGAAUGGUCGAAGGUUCCCUCAGGCCCCACUGCUCCCACUACCGUGACCGAGGCUGUAUUGUCUCAGUACGGCGGAUUCCAAAAUAACCAGGUACUGUUACCCAUAUCGUUUGGCUAAUCACGCCACACGAAACUUCUCUCGGUUUUCCUUCUCUCUCCGCUCACAUGUACUGGACUUCUGCCGUUCCGUUGUGAAGGUGCUGCUGCAGUUGUAGCAGCACCAGAUAGAAGUCGCCGUGGCCGUGGCCCGGCAGUCUAGUCCCAGUACCUCGCUUAUGUACCAGACU